CAGGGAGGUGGUCACUUAUCAAAAUAAACACAUUGGUGCAUGGAAUUUCCUGGCUACUGAACACACUCUCUCCCAGCUCUGCCUCUGCCUUAUGCCUCAAGCUGUGGAGUUAAUGACGUUUGUCUGCAGCACUUGGGCCCCUCUGGGCCACCCCUGUGACUUUCAGGGACCAGAGCUACCAGGUCCUCGCUCUCCCGUCAUCCUGCUCGCCUGUGAGAACGAGGUAUCUGAGCACCCUCUGCCGCUGUCCUCCCACAUCUGCCCAUCCGCUUCUCCAAGGCCUGUUCACCGUGGCCAACAGGCCUAACCACUGAAUCUGCCUCCUCCCUCAGGGCAGCUGGAAACCCUCAGACGGAGCUCCAGGGAACACACAGGAGUCACAAUUACACACACCUUCCAGGAGGACAAGGAAGAAAGGCCAAAGGCCGGUGUAUACUCAAAGGGGCCAGAAGAUGAGGCCAAUCCAAGGAGGGAAGAGUCUGAACCAGGCCAGACCAGAGGCCAGAAUGCAGCCAGCCCCCCACACCCAGGAAGCCAGGCCAGCAUCCAACCCCACACCCAGGAAGCCAAGGGGAGGAGCAAAGAAUGAAGAGAAACUGGGGCAGCAGAUCAUCUGUGUCCUUCGGUGACAUCCAACUGCAGGAAUUGCUCGGAACAGGAAGAAGUGGAUCCAGCAGGGACUCAGGGGUGACGAGGAGGGGCUUUUGUAAAAGGUCUGGUGGUGGGAAAAAGCUUCAACUAAGUCAAACUUAAUUGGAUGCCUACUAUCUACAAGGCCCUGUGCUGGGCAGGACAAUACCAAGGACCAUCCAUCUUGCAAGUCAUGAAGGCUAAUACUGCAGCUGUGAAAUUUGACUCCAAGCUUCCGGGAAGCAAAAAUAGGCACAUGGAGGAUAAAUUACCAUGGAUAGAAUUGCUGGGACAAAAGAUACAUAAAUUUUAAACUGUAGAACAUGUAUUUCUGAGUCACUCUUCAGAAAGGAUUUAAUAUCAGAGUUAACUUCAGAGUUAACUUCAUAAUACGAAUUUGGAAGUCUGGCUAAGCUCUCAUUUAUUUAGUAUCUAUUCUUUGAACAUUUGAAAGCAUUCCGCUCCCAAACUGCUGGCAUGGAAGGAUUUCCACAAUGUAUUAAGUAACAAAAAGCCACUUGCCCUUGGAGCCACCAUGUUAUGAGGAAGCCCAGUCACAUGGAGAGGUUCAUGUGGGGAGAAGCCAAGGUCCCUGGCCCUCAACUCUGACGGAGCUCCCAGCCAGCAGCCAGCAU